CUCGUAGGCGGUUCGUCGCGUCCGGUGUGAAAGUCCAUCGCCUAACGGUGGAUCUGCGCCGGGUACGGGCGGGCUGGAGUGCGGUAGGGGAGACUGGAAUUCCCGGUGUAACGGUGGAAUGUGUAGAUAUCGGGAAGAACACCAAUGGCGAAGGCAGGUCUCUGGGCCGUCAUUGACGCUGAGGAGCGAAAGCGUGGGGAGCGAACA
rnacentral:rRNA from 1 species